rnacentral:rRNA from 1 species
GAUGAACGCUGGCGGCGUGCCUAAUACAUGCAAGUCGAGCGAACAGACGAGGAGCUUGCUCCUCUGACGUUAGCGGCGGACGGGUGAGUAACACGUGGAUAACCUACCUAUAAGACUGGGAUAACUUCGGGAAACCGGAGCUAAUACCGGAUAAUAUAUUGAACCGCAUGGUUCAAUAGUGAAAGACGGUUUUGCUGUCACUUAUAGAUGGAUCCGCGCCGCAUCAGCUAGUUGGUAAGGUAACGGCUUACCAAGGCAACGAUGCGUAGCCGACCUGAGAGGGUGAUCGGCCACACUGGAACUGCGACACGGUCCAGACUCCUACGGGAGGCAGCAGUAGGGAUUCUUCCGCAAUGGGCGACAGCUUGACGGAGCAACGCCGCGUGAGUGAUGAAGGUCUUCGGAUCGUAAAACUCUGUUAUUAGGGAAGAACAAAUGUGUAAGUAACUAUGCACGUCUUGACGGUACCUAAUCAGAAAGCCACGGCUAACUAC